UACAGAGGUGCUCAAGCGUUGUUCGGAUUCAUUGGGCGUAAAGGGUGCGUAGGCGGCGCGGUAAGUCGGGUGUGAAAUCUCGGGCUUAACUCCGAAACUGCAUUCGAUACUGCCGUGCUUGAGGACUUGGGAGAGGAGACUGGAAUUUACGGUGUAGCGGUGAAAUGCGCAGAUAUCGGGAAGAACGACCCGUGGCGAAGGCGGGUUCUA
rnacentral:rRNA from 1 species